GUACUUGCUUCCAGUACAUAUAAUAAAUUGGAUACGAUACAGAAGAUUAGCAUGGCCCUGCGAAAGGAUGACCGCAUAGGUCAUUAGGCAUUUCAUAUUUUA